GCGGCGUACGGGUGCGGAACACGUGUGCACUGCCUUUAUCUGGGGGAUAGCCUUUCGGAAGGAAGAUUAAUACCCCAUAAUAUGUUGAAUGGCAUCAUUCGACAUUGAAAACUCCGGUGGAUAGAGAUGGGCACGCGCAAGAUUAGAUAGUUGGUGAGGUAACGGCUCACCAAGUCUACGAUCUUUAGGGGGCCUGAGAGGGUGAUCCCCCACACUGGUACUGAGACACGGACCAGACUCCUACGGGAGGCAGCAGUGAGGAAUAUUGGACAAUGGGUGAGAGCCUGAUCCAGCCAUCCCGCGUGAAGGACGACUGCCCUAUGGGUUGUAAACUUCUUUUGUAUAGGGAUAAACCUACCCUCGUGAGGGUAGCUGAAGGUACUAUACGAAUAAGCACCGGCUAACUCCGUGCCAGCAGCCGCGGUAAUACGGAGGGUGCAAGCGUCAUCCGGAUUUAUCGGGUUUAAAGGGUCCGUAGGCGGAUCUGUAAGUCAGUCGGUGAAAUCUCACCAGUUAACUGUGAAACUGGGCCCAUUUGGAUACUGGCCAGGGUCCUUCGGAAGUGGUCCGGNCGGACAGUCAAAGCCUGGGGCAAUCAAG
rnacentral:rRNA from 1 species